CAGGUUGACCAGAGAAGUUGUGGAUGCCCCAUUGCUGAAGGCAUUCAAGACCAGGCUGGAUGGAUCAUCAGGAAAUCUGAUCUAGUGGGAGAUGUCCCAGCCCACAGCAGAGAGGUUGGAAAUUAAUGAACAUUAAAGGCACCCUUCCAACACAAGCCAUAAGACACCAUAAGAACACUACAAAUACAGUCUCUACUUCAAUAGCAACUGACAAAACUGACAACAGGGACGUUGUUCCCCACUUCUGUUUCCUCCAACUGAGGCUGCAAUGGAAGAAGGCAAAGAGGUAAGUUUGCAGCAUGGAAGGCAAGGACCUGGAAGGUGGAAGCUGCCUCGAGCAUCCCUGGGAGCAAAAAGGUGGUGUCCUCUCCUGUGUCAGGUGCUGCACAAAAGGAAGAACAAAUGACAUGACUGUAACUAAGACCCUCCUUCUAGAGGAGGAAGCUGACAAUAAGGCAAGAAGGUGGGGAGCAAGCAGGAGGUUAGGUGUUGCACUGUCUCAGAAAAAGGGCUAGAAAAGGAUGAGGGUGAAGGCAAUGCCUGAACCAGUUGUUUAAGGGUAAAACAGCCUGCCACAAAAGUAGAGAAGCAGCAGCAUUAGAAAAGGCAGCUGCAGCUUGUGUUGUGUAAGGAAAUGCAGAGGGACAGGGCCUUUUCAAAUACAGUAAAUCAAGAGUGAGUUGUUCAGUCACUUGCCAUCUGCAAUGUACUCCAAAAAUUUCCUUGGAUAAUAGUUUUCCAAUAGUUUUCCAACCUUCCAAAUGUUUUGAAAAGCUAAUAAUAUUUUUAAGGCUAACCAACCAAGCAGUGAACAGUAUCAGACUGCUCGAAGAUAAGCACAUGAUAACUGUAAAUGACAAAGCAAAAGGGAAUAGCAUGAGAACAGAUCAUAAUUAUGAUAACAAUUAGUGAUGUCUGAUUAUCACAUGUGAUGUCUUGGCACAAUGCAAAGCAGUUUUUCUAUUUAUUCUUUAAAUCCUUCUAUUUCCUGUUGUGGUUCUUUUUUCUGUUUUUUGUUGUUUUUUUUCUCAUGUCAUCUAAAAUUCCUUCAUCCGCUUUGUGCCAGGGAUGAUCCUUGCUGACUGAGG